CCUGGUGUCUCUCAAUGUCUGUAGUGUGCCAGAGUCCCUGUGUCCUAAUGUCUCCCAGUGCCCCCAUGUCUCCUAGUGUCUGUGUCCCCUAGUAUAAAAGAAAAAAUCUCAGCCAAUCACUGUAAUAGAUUUAAGCAAGUUUAUUGGACACCGCAACGUUUUGACCUGUACCCAGUGUCCCCUGUGUAUCACAUUGUCUCAGUGCCCCAUGUCUCCCAGUG